rnacentral:rRNA from 1 species
UCCUACGGGAGGCAGCAGUAGGGAAUCUUCCGCAAUGGACGAAAGUCUGACGGAGCAACGCCGCGUGAGUGAUGAAGGCCUUCGGGUCGUAAAACUCUGUUGUUAGGGAAGAACAAGUAUCGGAGUAACUGCCGGUACCUUGACGGUACCUAACCAGAAAGCCACGGCUAACUACGUGCCAGCAGCCGCGGUAAUACGUAGGUGGCAAGCGUUGUCCGGAAUUAUUGGGCGUAAAGCGCGCGCAGGCGGUCCUUUAAGUCUGAUGUGAAAGCCCACGGCUCAACCGUGGAGGGUCAUUGGAAACUGGGGGACUUGAGUGCAGAAGAGGAAAGCGGAAUUCCACGUGUAGCGGUGAAAUGCGUAGAGAUGUGGAGGAACACCAGUGGCGAAGGCGGCUUUCUGGUCUGUAACUGACGCUGAGGCGCGAAAGCGUGGGGAGCAAACAGGAUUAGAUACCCUGGUAGUCCACGCCGUAAACGAUGAGUGCUAAGUGUUAGAGGGUUUCCGCCCUUCAGUGCUGCAGCUAACGCAGUAAGCCUCCGCCUGG